rnacentral:rRNA from 1 species
UACAUAGGGAGCAAGCGUUAUCCGGAAUUAUUGGGCGUAAAGCGCGUGUAGGCGGCUUGGCAAGUCGGGUGUGAAAUCCCUCAGCUUAACUGAGGAAGUGCGCCCGAAACUGCCGAGCUUGAGUACCGGAGAGGGUGGCGGAAUUCCCCAAGUAGAGGUGAAAUUCGUAGAUAUGGGGAGGAACACCGGUGGCGAAGGCGGCCACCUGGACGGAUACUGACGCUGAGACGCGAAAGCGUGGGGAGCAAACAGG